ensembl:lncRNA
GUCCUUUUCAACCCAGGCCAUUUUAUGAUUUUAUGAAUGCAAUGUGGGAUAUGACAGAUAAAGAUGAAGCCAAGUGUUUGUUCUCGCUUUUGUCUUUCAGCUUGGCCUGGUUUUGCAGAGAGCAGAGAUGCCUGUUGCUUUUUAUCAGAAACUGAUUGUGUUAAUAGUUUUGCAGCAACAUUUGUCCCAUUUUCUGCCUGGUGUACUGAAAUGGCGAGGUUAUUCCAGUUGUGGAAGUGGAGCAGAACUGUGGUAAAACUACAUGAUUAGAAGAGUUACAAUCAAGAAUUUCAAAAUAAGGUUU